rnacentral:rRNA from 1 species
GGGCCCGCACAAGCGGUGGAGCAUGUGGUUUAAUUCGAUGAUACGCGAGGAACCUUACCAGGGCUUAAAUGUUAGGUGACAGAUCUAGAAAUAGAUUUUUCUUCGGACACUUAACAAGGUGCUGCAUGGUUGUCGUCAGCUCGUGCCGUGAGGUGUCAGGUUAAGUCCUAUAACGAGCGCAACCCCUGUUGUUAGUUGCCAGCGAGUAAUGUCGGGAACUCUAGCAAGACUGCCAGUGCAAACUGUGAGGAAGGUGGGGAUGACGUCAAAUCAUCACGGCCCUUACGUCCUGGGCUACACACGUGCUACAAUGGUAGGUACAGAGAGCAGCCAAUGCGCGAGCAUGAGCAAAUCUAUAAAACCUAUCUCAGUUCGGAUUGGAGUCUGCAACUCGAGUGCAUGAAGCUGGAAUUGCUAGUAAUCGC